GCACUCACCGCUCUGCUCUCCCAGGAACACCAGCUUGAAUUUCCUCAGCGGAUUCCCGAAGUCUCCGCCCGCGGACAUGAUGGAGCCGGAGGAGCCGCCGCCGCCGCCUCAGCCCAGAGACCUCUUCCAGACCGCUGCAGCUCCAACCCGCUAACGAAGAGGGCCGAGCUGAAGGGGCAGCCUCCGAGUCCUCUCGGCCCCUGCAGGGCCGGGCAGAGGGGCGAGGCUGAAGGGAGAGUGCCUCCACCGACCGGCAGCCGCCGCCGCCGCCUCCCCGCAGAGUCGCCUAGCACCGAGCCGGGCCCGCGGCCGCGAAGGGACGCAGGGCGGUGUCGGAGGCAGCCAGCGGUGCGCUCGGGCUUCGCUAGCCUAGCGCCGUUCCUUCCCUCAGAACGCGGCGCGGAGACUGAGGUGCUGGGUGUGUGGACCAAUACUGUUUCUAAGCAAGGCUUUUCCCUCCUAAGGUUCAGAAGUUUGGGAGAGAAUCCCAUUUUUUCUGCAGGUGGUAUUCUGUGGACCAGUCGGCACUACAAGACAAAGCCCACUCGUGGCAUCGGAAGAUACAGACACUUGGUGAAAGUGCAGGAGCCCAAAAAGAAGAAAGCAAAAGUAGAACUGAGAGCCAUUAAUGUGGGGACAGAUUAUGAAUAUGGGGUUUUAAACAUCCACCUGACAGCAUAUGACAUGAGUCUGGCAGAAAGUUAUGCCCAGUAUGUCCACCGCCUCUGCAACCGGCUGUCCAUCAAAGUCGAGGAAAGCUAUGCGAUGCCUACCAAAACCAUGGAAGUGAUGCGACUGCCAGACCAAGGCAACAAAAUGGUCCUAGACUCCAUCCUUACCACCCAUGAGCGAGUGGUGCAGAUCAGCGGUCUGAGUGCUACAUUUGCAGAGAUUUUCUUGGAAGUACUCCAAAGCAAUCUUCCAGAAGGAGUCAGAUUGUCCGUGAGGGAGCACACUGAAGAAGACUUCAAGGGAAGGUUCAAAGCUCGGCCGGAACUGGAAGAGUUGUUGGCCAAGUUGAACUAAAAAUACUGCAAGCCCUUCAUGUGAUUGUUGGUCUCCGAGAAGCUGCUCCUGCAAGAUCAGGGUUAAGGAGGAGCGUGAAUGCUCGUGCUGGGAAUGCCUCCUUGCAUCUGUGCCCCGGGCUUGCCAGUUACCACUUCCCAUAACAAAACCUAGGACCUUCUCCACCUAAUAAAUGUCUGCUGUUGCCAGUGUGUGUGUGUUUGUGUGUGUGUGUGUGUGUGUGUGUGUGUGUGUGUGUGUGGCUUUGGCUGUGUGUGUUUAUCAGUUAUCUUGUGAGGUAUCUUUAAGGAAUUCUGUUUCUCUUUGUCUGAACAUGUUCUCAUCCUACCAUACUGUUUUAGAGUGAAUUCAUUCUCUAAAACAGUCUGAUGUAAACUGAUUGUUUGUUUGAGACACUGUCUAUCUGUAGCCUUGGAACUUACUAUAUAGAUGGGGGUAGUCUCAAACUCACAGAGAUCCACCUGCCUCCUUUCCCCCAAUUUCCACCCUCCAAAUGCUGGGGUUAAAGGUUGUAUGCCAUUGUGCCCAAUAUGAACUCAUCUCUUAAAGUAAUACUACAGCAUGGAGGUUUAUGAUUAAGUAGAGAUUGCAACAAAAGCAAACUCUGUAUUGGUCUAUUUUUUGUUGCUAUAAUGAAGUUCCUGCAUCUGGGUUCUUUAUAAAGAAAAAGGGUUUGACCAAUUGUAAUAGUACAUACCUGUACGUUCAGCACUUAGGAGGUGGAGGAUUAGAGUUCAGGGUCAUCCACAGGUACAGAGUGAGUUCCAGGACAACUUGGGUCACAUGACAUACAUACAUACAUAUAUACAUACAUGCAUACAUACAUACAUAAAAGAUGCUUGCUAAAUGUGAUUGCAUGUAUCACCCCAGCAUCCAGGAGCUUGAAGCAGGAGGAUUGCAAGUUUAAAAUAUUGAGGGGAAGGAAAUCUAACAGCAAGCUCUUGCAAGCUGUGAGUGAAUCACCAGCUGCCAACUCCCCUCAAAAGUCAUAAUCCCACCAUACAGACCAGAAAACAAGUUGUGUGAAGUUACAGUAGCUUACCAAGGAGAACAACUCACAAGUUUUCUUCCGUAGAAGGCUGGAUACAACAUGGGCUGUCUGCUUCCCCUUAUAAAGGUUGUCCUAAGGAGGAAGGGGCAGAUGUUUCAAGCUGGAGCUAGAUGUGUGCUCCAUUGGGUUUCAUUAUAUGUGACCCUAAGAGAGUCUGUUUCUCCUCAGCCCUCGCUGCAGAACCCAGUGAAGCUUGUGACUGUAGCCUCGAAGAUCUAUUGGUCAGACUAUCUCCCACCCCUCUUACCAGGUAAACAAAUGUUAAGAGCCAUUUCCAUUUCUCAGAGCAGAGUAACAGAAGCCUUUUGAUUCUAAGAGGAGGAUACAUCAUGAACUAGGUCAGUGCCACAAGUUCUCCAAAGUGACAGAAUCCAGUCGCUUCCUGCUUACGAGAUAAGCCUGACUCACCCCUCAGCCGUGAUGGGAAGGAAGCCUCAGACUGGGAAACAGGACCGAAUCCUGCUGCCACUCUGCCAAGAGAUGUCCUGUGACCUUGGGCAAAGCAUGCUCUCUAGAGCCUUAGCUUCUCUUUACUCAGAGUCCUGUGGGCUGGCUAACUAGUUCCUAAGUAUUUCAGCUGCAGUGUGUUGUCAAUAAAAUCCCAAGUCCUGCUCCCACAUACUGGUAAAUAGCAAGUCUGGGUAACCAGAAGACUCUGCCAGGUUCUGAAAUGGAGCGCAUGUGACACUGCCCGUGUGCAUUGGGAGCAGAGCAGUGCAUAUAUGUGUGUGUGUGUGUGUGUGUGUACACAUGUGCAUACAGUUAUUUACCUGUGAAUCUUCACAUUGUUAUAUACCCUGAACUUUGCUCUCAUUGGCCAGAUACUGUUAUUUUAUUUUCCUGAUAGAAAUUCAGCAAUAAGCAGUUCUAAUCCAGAACAUCACUCUGCACUUGAGAAAUUCUGCCUAAAAGAGUUCACAUGGGAAAUCCUGACCUGCUGAGCAUGGUACUUGAAUUCAGUUGUUACCCCCACCCCCACCCCUCACCAAACUACUAGCCUUAGUGGUGUUUUUAGUUUUUUGGUUUUGUUCUGUUUCGAGGUAAGAGUCUUAACAUGUAGCCUUGGCUGGCCUGGACUGGCAAAAUGCUUCUGUGUUUGCAGACACAUACUUGCCCCAAGAGACUGGUAAGGGAAUAAGAGCUACUGUGUACCUUGCACAAGGUCUAGCUCAGUAAGCAGCUAUUCUACAUGAAGACACAGAUGCUCAGAAGCAAGCACACCAGAGUCACCUGGAUUAUAUUCUCAGAGAAGCAACCCAGCAGCAACAUCUGAGAAAUGAUAAGAUUCAAAGAUGUGGAUUCUGAAACGGUGUAUUUUAGUCACAGAGAAAAGGAGUGAACCACUUUGGCCUUUUGGGAACUGCAGCAGUACUGAGCCUCUGGUCUUCCAUUUCUAGGACUAGUGGAUUUAGGGAAGGAGUGAUGUUCCAGUAUGUAUUGGCAUGAGCUAGACCUGAUAGAUGCUGUAGGCAGAAGUGGACAAGGACUUGUGCUUGUUUUUUCUGUGCUUACAUUUCUCUGUGCUGUUUUUAAUCCAGAUGCCUAUAUCACCUGGCUGCUGCACCUCCCUGUAAUAACUCAUUCUCAGACCUUUUUGCUCACUUCUGGGACAUUCCUUUGCAGAUAGUACCCAGAUUAAAAAAGAAUGAAUUCUUUAGAAUAAUAGUUGCUAAGCAGGAGAAGAUGGUUCCCUACUUCCCUGCAGCCUUAAUGCCUGGCUGGAGCAGAGGAGGGAGCCCUGGCUUUCUCUGCAGAGGAGAUGUAUACAAUUUCAGUUUGGAUUCACUCCAGUUCUCUUUGGGUUUCUAAAGUCAGCAGCUCAAGGAUGCAGUCUGGCCACUUCACUGCGGGUGGGCAGGAGGGAAGAGGACCUUACUCAUCUAGCAAAAUGCACUACAGUGCGUCUUUAUACCAAGCACAAGGCCAAGUCCCCAGGCAAGGACCUUGCAGGGAGGAACUAACACAUGAGUCUUCCCUAAGCCUCUUGAAGAGGGCCACCCGGCUAAGAAGUCCUGUAAUCAGAGUAUUAGGGAAAAGUUCCCCAACUCUAACAACUCCAGCAGGCUAGCCUUGACAACCCAUCCCAAUGAGACAAUUAGACUAACGGCCGUGAAAAGGUAGGGGUGAUUUAGUACAGUGGAAAGAGGAGCCUGUUUGACUUUAUGGACUGACAUGGACUUUAGGUUUAAAUAAAAGCAUUGGGGCAUAAUUAAGUAGAUCUGUUCACAGUCUGGUCUCCUUGAUCUUUGUCUCAGCUCUAGUUCUGUAAAGUGGCUUGAAAAAAUCUUGGGGCUAGAGAGGUGGUUCAGUAGUUAAAGGCGCUUGUUGCUUUUGCAGAGGACCUGGCUUUAGUUCCCUGCACCCACAUUGUGCCUCAAACAAAAGCAACGCCAGUUCCAGGGGAUCUGAUGCUCUCUUCUGGCCUUGGUAGGCACCAGGCCCACACAAACACAUACAUGCAGGCAAAACUCUUAUGCA